rnacentral:rRNA from 1 species
UACGGAGGAUGCAAGCGUUAUCCGGAAUUAUUGGGCGUAAAGCGUCCGCAGGUGGUUGGACAAGUCUGCUGUCAAAGCGCGGGGCUUAACUCCGUAAAGGCAGUGGAAACUGUACAACUAGAGUACGGUAGGGGUAGAGGGAAUUCCCAGUGUAGCGGUGAAAUGCGUAGAUAUUGGGAAGAACACCGGUGGCGAAAGCGCUCUACUGGACCGUAACUGACACUCAUGGACGAAAGCUAGGGGAGCGAAAGGG